rnacentral:tRNA from 1 species
GGGCAUGCUCCUAGAGCAUCUGACUUCAGAUCAGGUGGUCGUAGGUUCGAUCUCUGUACGGCCCACCA